GACGAACGCUGGCGGCGUGCUUAACACAUGCAAGUCGAGCGGUAAGGCCCUUUCGGGGGUACACGAGCGGCGAACGGGUGAGUAACACGUGGGUGACCUGCCCUCAGCUCUGGGAUAAGCCUGGGAAACUGGGUCUAAUACCGGAUAUGACUCCAUGACGCAUGUUGUGGGGUGGAAAGCCUUGUGCGGCUGAGGAUGGGCCCGCGGCCUAUCAGCUUGUUGGUGGGGGGAUGGCCUACCAAGGCGACGGACGGGUAGCCGGCCUGAGGAGGGCGGACCGGCCACACGUGGGAC
rnacentral:rRNA from 1 species